GUAUAUUUCUAUUUCAUUGAAAAGCACCGAAUCUCCUCUGAUCACUGUGGUUAAGCAACGUUGUGUCUAGUUAAUACUUAGAUGGAUGACUAUUCGGGAAAACUAGGUGCUUUAAGCA
rnacentral:rRNA from 1 species